GGGUCAGUAGGUUGGUCGUGCCACCGGUACGUACUGGUCUCACUGAUUCCUCCUUCCUGAAGAGCCGUAAUGCCACUAAUUUGGUGUUGCGGGGAAACAGGACUGUUACUUUGAAAAAAUUAGAGUGUUUAAAGCAAGCUAACGCUUGAAUACAUUAGCAUGGAAUAAUGAAAUAGGACGAUCGAUCCUAUUUUGUUGGUUUCUAGGAUUGACGUA
rnacentral:rRNA from 1 species